ACACACAGGCUGGGAGAGCGCGUGCGUCCCCGCUCGCGCAAGGGCGAGAGAGAGAGAGGGAGGGGUAGCUUGAGUUUCCUUCCUCACUCCCACCGAGACCUCCCCCUCCCCAAGCCGAGUGCGCGAGCCCAGAAGGGAGCCGGCGCUCGCUCGCUCGCUCGCGCGCGACUCGGGAGCGAGUUGGCUGCGCGGACGCGCGCCGGGCGGGCGCGAGGCCAGAGGCGGGAGGCGCAAAGGGGCUGCUGCUCCCUCCCUUGGGACACCGCGCGCGCGCGCCCGCCCGCCCCCUCGCGCUCUGCGGGGAGGGGAUCCGGAGGGGGGGGAGACUUGGGGUGUUUUAUAUAUUUUUUGGGGGUGGGUGGGGGCUGAGGUAACCGCCGCGGUGGAGCGCGAGAGCCGUUGAGGGGCAAGAACAGCCACCCUGUCCCCGCCCCGGCAGGGAAGGCUCCCGGGGGCCAGCGGGGAUGUGGUGAGAGGGAGGCGCCCGGAGUCGGAGGGCAGCCUCGCCUCGGAGCCCGCGCUCCGCCGCCCCAGUGCAAGUGUGGACACCACUCUUCAUUUCAUCACUUUAAUUGGCCUGCAGGAGGUGUCCCACAAUGCCCAAUGUCCUGACCGCUCUGAUCAGCACUUUGAACUCCACUGCCCUGCAGCCAGAUGUGGCCUUCAGGAACACCCCAUGCACCCCGACCGAGCGUCUCUGCCAGAUAAGAAAGUGCCCAAGACACAGCAAAGAAGACAUGUUCCGGGAAGUCCUGCAGUGCUCCAAUGCAGAAAAAAGGGAGUGAAAGGCAUGCUGGGAAGCCAAACGGCGGGACAGAAAGGAGAAUCACGUGUUUGUUAAGGAUGCUUCUGAGCAGAUGCUUAAAGUAAUGGAGGAGCAAACACAGAUGCUGAAGUCCGUAAUAAUGCUGCAGACCGAGCAGAUUAGUGCUCGACCUCCACUGCAGCACAUUCAGAACUCUUUUCCAUGCCCCCCACAAACUCUGCCUUCACAUUCCUUUCCACCUUCCGGGACUUUUCGGUUUCCCCUUCACUCAUCCCACUCAGACAACUUUCACAAUGGUAGCUGGAACCUACACACAGCUGUGAUAGUCUGCCCUCUCCUGGUUCCUCCUUUCCCGUCAAGCAUCUGUGUGUUUGUGUGUGCUGUUUCUUGUGCAAUAAAAGCAAACUUUUAUAAUGGUAAAUCAUCUUUAAUUUUCUUCUACAAGGUGAGAUUGCAGGCAUCACCAAUAUAUGCACAUGCAUUUUAAUCACUUUAUUGCAGGAAUAUAAGGCCACAAAUGUCAUCAUUGCCCCAUAGGAAAACUACGUGUAAUAUUACAUUGAAACAACUCAGACAGAGAUAUGUUACUGGUGGUCAUUAUCAAAGUGCUGCCUCAAACCCUCCCUGAUGUGAAUAGCUCCCCUCUGGGCUCCUCUGACAGCCCUGGUAUCUGACCACUCAAAAUCAGUGGCCAAGCAGUCUGCCUCGGCACUCCACCCCUGAGCAAACCUUUCACCCUUAGCUUCACAGAGAUUAUGCAACGUACAGCACGCGGCUAUGACCAUAGGAAUAUUAUCCUCAGUGAGGUCCAACCUGCCAUAAAAGUAUCGCCAGCGAGCCUUUAAUCUGCCAAAGGCAUAUUCAACUGUCAUUCGGCACCUACUGAGCCCGUUGUUGAACUGCUCCUUACUGCUGUCCAGGUGUCCUGUGUAAGGUUUCAUGAGCCGUGGCUGUAAGAGGUAUCGCAGGGUCCCUCAGGUUCACUAUUGGCAUUUCAACACCUCCCACUGUAAUCUUCUGAUUAGGAAAGAAAGUCUCUGCUGGUGUUCCUGAAGAUGCAUGUGUCAUGGACCUUCCCAGAUCACCCUGCGUUGAUGUCAGUGAAACACCCACGGUGAUCCACAAGUGCCUGUAACUCCAUGGAGAAGUACUCCUUCCUAUUGAUUUACUCCAUUGCAAGGUGGUCUGGUGCCAAAAUUGGAAUAUGUGUGCCAUCUAUCACCCCUCCACAAUUAGGGAAACGCAUUUCUGCAAAGUCAUCCACUAUUUCACACACGUUUCCCAAAGUCAUAGUCCUUCAUAGCAGGAUGCGAUUUAUUGUCCUGAACACUUGCAUUAACGUGGUUGGGUCAUUACAAAACCUAAACCUAAUUUCCCCAAUACUAAGUUCCCCCUACUGUUACUUACACCUUCUUGUCAACUGUCUGAAAUAGGCCACUCUCAUUACC